UCUUCUGUCCUGGGUUUUUUCUGGGAAGCUGCGUUUCCUUUUACAGCCAUGAGAUGUCACCAGUGAGCGGAGCCCCUGGAGAAGUGUGGCGGCCAACCUGUAGACGCACCUGUGUCUAAUUUUCGAGAGCUGCGGAGGUGCUUCAUAAGGACAGCCUAGCUGACACUCCAGUGCCUGAGUGUUUGCCUUCACUGAUUUCCUUGUGAUCGCCCUGUGACUCCUGGAUGUGGACAAGCGCUCCCCCCUGGAUUUCCUUGUGUUCCUCACGACGCCAUUGGUAUUACCAAUCGGUUGCCUUCCUCCGUGCACUUACCUCCCUGGUCCCUCCCCGUGGAUCCUCUGUGCCUCGCCAUCGGCUGAGCCUGCCAGCGUUUCAUGUUCCGGGAGCUAACUGUCGAAGCCCCGCUCGGAAGUCAACUCACUCUGCUCUCCAGCUGCAAGGCUUACCUGCUCGCUCUCCGACGGUAACUCACUUCUCCAGCCGCCACCAUUGACAAUACUACCUCCGCAUUCAAUCUGACGACCAGUUUCCUCCAGUCCCAGGUUCCAGAACUAUUUCCCCUGACCCCUCUUCCUUUCACCAAAAUAAAUAUUAUUGUUGUUUCA